rnacentral:rRNA from 1 species
CCUACGGGAGGCAGCAGUGAGGAAUAUUGGUCAAUGGACGAGAGUCUGAACCAGCCAAGUAGCGUGAAGGAUGACUGCCCUAUGGGUUGUAAACUUCUUUUAUCAAGGAAUAAAAUGAGGCUCGUGUGCCUUUUUGCAUGUACUUUAUGAAUAAGGAUCGGCUAACUCCGUGCCAGCAGCCGCGGUAAUACGGAGGAUCCGAGCGUUAUCCGGAUUUAUUGGGUUUAAAGGGAGCGUAGAUGGGUUGUUAAGUCAGUUGUGAAAGGUUGCGGCUCAACCGUAAGAUUGCAAUUGAUACUGGCAGUCUUGAGUACAGUUGAGGUAGGCGGAAUGCGUGGUGUAGCGGUGAAAUGCUUAGAUAUCGCGAAGAACCCCGAUUGCGAAGGCAGCUUACUAAACUGGGACUGACAUUGAUGCUCGAAAGUGUGGGUAUCAAACAGGAUUAGAUACCCGAGUAGUC